rnacentral:rRNA from 1 species
GACGAACGCUGGCGGCGUGCCUAAUACAUGCAAGUAGAACGCUGAAGGAGGAGCUUGCUUCUCUGGAUGAGUUGCGAACGGGUGAGUAACGCGUAGGUAACCUGCCUGGUAGCGGGGGAUAACUAUUGGAAACGAUAGCUAAUACCGCAUAAUAGUAGAUGUUGCAUGACAUUUGCUUAAAAGGUGCAAUUGCAUCACUACCAGAUGGACCUGCGUUGUAUUAGCUAGUUGGUGAGGUAACGGCUCACCAAGGCGACGAUACAUAGCCGACCUGAGAGGGUGAUCGGCCACACUGGGACUGAGACACGGCCCAGACUCCUACGGGAGGCAGCAGUAGGGAAUCUUCGGCAAUGGACGGAAGUCUGACCGAGCAACGCCGCGUGAGUGAAGAAGGUUUUCGGAUCGUAAAAGCUUCUGUUGUAAAGAGAAAGAAACG